UACAGAGGUCUCAAGCGUUGUUCGGAUUCAUUGGGCGUAAAGGGUGCGUAGGUGGCGCUGUAAGUCGGGUGUGAAAUUUCGGAGCUUAACUCCGAAACUGCAUUCGAUACUGCGGUGCUUGAGGACUGGAGAGGAGACUGGAAUUCACGGUGUAGCAGUGAAAUGCGUAGAGAUCAUGAGGAAGACCAGUGGCGAAGGCGGGUCUCUGGACAGUUACUGACACUGAGGCACGAAGGCCAGGGGAGCAAACGGG
rnacentral:rRNA from 1 species